GUGAAAUAACCUGGGACUUGAUGUCCCAAACCAUCUCACAAUCUACACACCUUUGUGCACUGUUGAAUGGGCCUGAUAAAUACAUAUAUUUUUUUCGGGCCUAUUCUAUUAUCUUACAAACAUCUUAUGUAUGUAAGGAAAGUGUUAUUGAAAUAAUAUAUAAAA
rnacentral:misc_RNA from 1 species